UCUAACGCAUCCACCCUACUUCUGUGUCCUGAUUCCAUUGGCUGGAACUGGAUUUCACAGUCUAGGCUGCACAUGGUUGGCUAACAACUUAAAACUUUCCUAAGUGGUCAUGCUGCCUGCUCUCCAGCCAGGGCUCUGGGCUCCAGCAUCUGCUCGGCAGCAGCCUCCCCUCCGACCAGCCCAUCAGGACCCAGGAGACCAAGCCGAGCCUGUGUCUCUGGCCAGGCCAUGAGCACAGCCGCAUGAUGCAUCCCUGCCUCGACCACUGCAGGUCGCCGCAGCAGGCGAGGAGGAGCCACAGAACCGGGCAAUGCCACCCCAGCCUCGGAUCUGAUCACGUAGGGCAGUAUGCACCUUAAGAUCCUGAAGAAAAGGCACAAAAUGUUCAAGUGAUGUUUCUAAAGGACAUGUGAGGGUGCAUCAGGGAAAUCAUGCAGCCAUCAGGACACAGACUCCAGGACAUCGAGCAUCGUUCUCUCCUGGCUGAAAAUGACAACUAUGACUCUUCAUAUUCCUCCUUCUCUGAGGCUGGUGUGGCUGACAGGGUCUGGUUCAUCCUUGACAGCUGCAGCAUGAUCUGUGCUGUCAUAAUAUGGCUUCUGGUCGCCUAUGCAGACUUCGUGGUGACUUUUUCCAUGCUGCUGCCUUCCAAAGAUUUCUGGUACUCUGUGGUCAAUGGGGUCAUAUUUAACUGAUUGGCUAUGCUCGCCCUGUUAUCCCACCUGAGAACCAUGCUCAGUGACCCUGGGCAGUACUCAAAGGAAACACUACAAAAGAAUACAUGGAUAGCCUGCAGCUGAAGCCUGAAAGGUGAUCUACAAGUGCUCCAAGUGCUGCUACAUUAAACCAGAGUGUGCCCACCACUGCAGUAUUUGCAAAAGAUAUAUUCAGAAAAUGGAUUAUCACUGCCUGUGGGAGAACAAUUAUGUAGGAAAAAAGAAUCAAAGGUUUUUUGUGCUCUUCACUGUGUAUGUAGCUCUGUCUUCAGUCCAUGCUCUGAUCCUCUGUGGAUUCAGUUUAUCUCCUGCGUCCAAGGGCAGUGGACUAAAUGCAGUGACUUUUCACCUCCGAUAACUGUAAUUCUGUUGAUCUUCCUGUGCCUUAAAAGUCUUCUGUUUUUCACUUUUAUUACAGUUAUGUUUGGCACUCAAAUCCACUCCAUAAGCAAUGAUGAGACGGAAAUUGAGCAAUUGAAAAGUGAGAAGCUCACAUGAGGGCAGAGACUGUGAUGGGAAGGGAUGAAGUCUGUGCUUGGGGAAUCCCCCCUCACUCCUCUGGAUGAAUCCCUUUGUCGGCUUCCACUUUAGGUGGCUGCCCACGAGACCCAGAAAAGGUGGCCCAGAGUUCUCAGUGUGAGGCCUGGCUUGUCAGGCUGGAACUUGCUCACAGACUUCCACUCAUUUAUUUGGGGUCUGAAGGGGAUCAGCAGCUCAUCUGUGACCAACAGGGCAACUGGAACCUACACAAACCAACUGCUUGCAGCAAGCAGUUUCAUAUAUUUCUAGUCACAGAUGGCAGAUUCUCCACACUGGAAGAGGCGCUCAGUCCCCACCUGUACAACAAUGACAGAAAGGUGUGUGGCCAUGCAAAGAAGUCAAAUGUCAUGGCCCUCCUGUGGAGUUAGGAUUUUUGUUAAGAAUACCUCACAUUUUCUAAGAAGUUGUCUGGGUUAUUA